AACGAACGCUGGCGGCAUGCCUAACACAUGCAAGUCGAACGAGAUCUUCGGGUCUAGUGGCGCACGGGUGCGUAACGCGUGGGAAUCUGCCCUUUGGUUCGGAAUAACAGUUGGAAACGACUGCUGAUACCGGAUGAUGACGAAAGUCCAAAGAUUUAUCGCCAGAGGAUGAGCCCGCGUAGGAUUAGCUAGUUGGUGUGGUAAAGGCGCACCAAGGCGACGAUCCUUAGCUGGUCUGAGAGGAUGAUCAGCCACACUGGGACUGAGACACGGCCCAGACUCCUACGGGAGGCAGCAGUGGGGAAUAUUGGACAAUGGGCGAAAGCCUGAUCCAGCAAUGCCGCGUGAGUGAUGAAGGCCUUAGGGUUGUAAAGCUCUUUUACCCGGGAUGAUAAUGACAGUACCGGGAGAAUAAGCUCCGGCUAACUCCGUGCCAGCCGCCGCUGUAACAC
rnacentral:rRNA from 1 species